rnacentral:lncRNA from 1 species
UUCCGCGCUUCUGUUUCCCUGGAGGAGGGAAAGAAGUUGAGAAAAUUCAGAGCCAAAUGUAGAUUUUCUCAAGUGCCUCAUUCCACACAGCGAUCUUGCUGGUAACCGGGAGUGCGUUUCUUCUGCAUCCAAUGUUCAAAUGCUGUCGUCCAAAAUGUUUCUGACCGUGGCAGGAAUUUCAAACGAAAUCCUAGGAGCUAGAUGAAGAGUUACAGACAAUCGCGAAUUUCCAGGCAACACGCCAGGGAUUUGGGGAAGAGAACAGUAAAACGUAACAGAAAUAGCAGCUUCCUGACACGGCGGAAGUCAUCUGGUGAAGAUUUUUUAUACAUUUUAUAUCGACUUUUUAAUCUCCUAAUUUAUUAGUAAAGUGUUGACCUAAGAAGUAAGAAUGCAUUUUGUAGCUCAUCAUUGUUUAAAUAGAGGCUUUGAAAUUCAGUCCCUCUUGGUGAUUGUAGCCGCCAUUAGAAAGUGGCUGCGGGAGGGGUCUGGCCUCUGCUCAGCCACUCACUGCUGUGUGAUCUUGGGCAGAGCACUUGAUGUCUCUGAGCCCGUCUCCUGAAGCCCAAAGCCAGGCUGUAAUAUCUGUGUCGGCUGUUCCGUGAGGAAAGAUGCCUCAUCUCUAGCUCUUCCUCAAGGCUAUGAAUAUAAUCAAAGGCGGAUGCUCAGGGCUGUGAAUAAGAGUUCAGUGAGGCAGCGUUUUAUCCAGUGCAUUCCUCUUCCCAGGCAUCUGUGACAUCGUCUUACCGACCAGCUGCCCCACUCUGGGACAUUUCCAUCGCUUUGCAGUGGCCGCACUGACAGUCGACAGCUGCGCCAGGACUUAAGGCUCCAGCCUGGUCCCCUCCUUGCUUCCCAGCACUGCCUGGUCAAAUGGUGGAGGACAGAGUGGAGGCAGAAGACGGAGGCGCAGCCGACACGUGGACUAAGGGCUCUCCAGGCAUUCCGACUUCUGAAGAGGUGGCUGACAGCCUGAGCUCCAUGGAAAGGUUGGGAUAAAGAGCCUGUGUGAUUGUCUACUCCAAAUUCAUGACUUUACAGAUGGGCUUCAGCCAAUGGUUUGGGUCCCAAGCUGUUGUUAUUAUUAUUAUUAUUAUCAUUAUCAUUUAAGACAGUCUCGCUCUGUCACCCAGGCUGGAGUGCAGUGGUGCGAUCUUGGCUCACUGCAGCCUCCGCCUCCCGGGUUCAAGUGAUUCUCCUGCCUCAGCCUCCUGAGUAGCUGGGAUUACAGGUGCCUGCCACCAGGCCCGGCUAAUUUUUUUUUAUUUUUAGUAGAAACGGGGUUUCACCAUGUUGGCUAGGCUGGUCUCAAACUCCUGACCUUAAGUGAUCUGCCCGCCUCGGCCUUCCAAAGUGCUGGGAUUACAGGCAUAAGCCACCGUGCCCGGCCCCAAGCUGCUUUUAGAAUGGCUUUUACUUUCUUAUAUGUAAUAGUGAAGAAUUUAAAAAUGUAAAGACAAGCCAGAUGUCAUGUUUGAAGAGGGAAAUUAAUCCCAUAAAGAGCAGCACAUCCAUGUGAUGGGGUAUUAGGAGGCCCUUAAUAGCCAAGGGUUAGCCUUUUUGAUGACAUAGAAAAAUAUGAGAUAUGAUAUUGAGUGAAAAGGGAGGUUAUAAAAUAUCAUGUGUAGUGCAAUCACAAGUGUAUGCACACACGCGGUGGAGAGAGACUGGGCGGACAGCACUAACCCAUUACCAGGGCUGUCUCCUGACUUUUAUCCUUUAGGUAUUUUUUGUGGUUUCCAAAUUUUUCAAUGCACAUUUAUUAGGAGCAGGAAAAAACUUAUUUUUGCCAAUGAAAUAAAAAUAAAUUUGGGCCAGGCAUGGUAGCUCACUUCUGUAAUUACAGCACUUUGGGAGUCUGAGGUGGGUGGGUUGCUUGAGCCCAGGAGUUCAAGACCAGUCUAGGCAACAUGUCAAGACCUCAUCUCUACAAAAAAUUAAAACAUGCGCUGGGUAUGGUGGCAUAUGCCUGUAGUCCCAGCUACUCAGGAGGCUGAGGUGGGAGGAUUACUCGAGUCUGGGAGGUCAAUGCUGCAGUGAGCUGUGAUGACACCAGUGCACUCCAGCCUGGAUGACAGAGUGAGACCCUGUCUCAACAACAAAACAAUCAAGUGUGUUGGUGAAUAUUUGAAGAUAGUUUCUCAAACUAAAAGAUACCCAAAGAAAACCUUGGAAAUAUAAAAAUAAUGCAUGAAUUGAAAACAAAAAGCCAUAAUACAAGACUCUAAAGAUCUGGAAUGAAACCUAAUAAGAGACUGGUAGGUCAAAUGAGAGCAAAGCAUUUGAAUUUGACUGGAUUGUUUUCUCACUGGAAAUAGUGAUUCUAUGAGUUCAUCAUUAACACAUUUUUUGACUGGAAAACUGCUAUAGGACCCCAGGGAGGACUACAUUUGAACAGAGGAAGUGGGCAGUGUUAAGUCUCUGUUCUAGCUCUUGGUUCUAGAAUAGGAGAGUUAAGAGCACCAAUUUGGGAUGAAGAAAGCAGAAAGCAAUUAUCGAUAUCAAUCAAGAGAGCAGAACAGCCUCUCUCCCUCCAUCCUCCCUCUGCCCUCUUCUCCCUUCCUCCUUCUCUGCUUUCCUUUCACUCUGUGUAUGUUAGCUUUGGCCCCAUUCCAUAAGCCGAGAUAAAAAUGCUAGGCAUGAUAAAUUUGUGACUGUUACUAACAUUUAGGAUUUUUUUUUUUGAGAUGGAGUUUCACUCAUGUUGCCCAGGCUGGGUGCCAUGGUGCGAUCUCGGCUCACUGCAACCUCUGCCUUCCGGGUUCAAGCAAUUCUCCUGCCACAGCCUCGCAAGUAACUGGGACUACAGGCGCAUGCCACCAUGCCCGGCUAAUUUCUUUUGUAUUUUUAGUAGAGACAAGGUUUCACCGUGUUGGCCAGGAUGGUCUCGAUCUCCUGACCUUGUGAUCUGCCCACCUCAGUCUCCCAAAGCACUGGGAUUACAGGCGUGAGCCACCACACCUAGCACAUUUAGGAUCGUUAUAUGGAAUUCUUCAUAUCUUCUAAGUUUUAAAAAAACAAAAUCUACCAAAUAUUAGAGAUUUAGUAGUUAAAUAAAAUCAUUAGGAAAGAGCAAAGACUUGCCCAGUUUUAGGUGGAGUAAAUUCUGGAACUUUUAAUACAAAGAUAGGCUGGGAAACUGCAAAGAUAACUUCGUGGUUCUUCUUGUAUGCAAAUCUGUGAUCAUGGAUGGAGAAGCCUGGAGGAGAAUCGGAAGGCAAGGUCAAACUUUAUCGGAUGCGAUCCAUUUGGUUCUUUCAAUAAGAAUCCAAAAUUGAUAAAAUACUACAGUUUGUGUCUCUUAGCUGAGAAUGCAGGCGCGAGGAAGUAAAAUGAUUUCUUCUCAUCAGUAGUAGAGCCACCCAACCCCAGUCUUCGGCCUCAAGCUCUUUCUGUGCUUUAUUAAAUCAGCUGCUUUUUAACAGAAAACCGACUUUGCACACCAGACUAUAAUGCAGGUCUUGCUUUGGGAAUAUUUACAUGGUAAUCUUAUAGUCACAUUAUACACUAAAUAAAUGUUAGCUGGGCCAUUGUGUAGAAAUAUAAUUUGUGCAAAAUAAAACCGUUAAUGUGUAAAACAC